GACAGAGGCCCCGAGCGUUAGGCAGAAUCACUGGGCUUAAAGCGUGUGUAGGCGGGCCCGUAAGUGUCUUGUGAAAUCCCACGGCUCAACCGUGGAACUGCUGGGCAUACUGCGGGUCUUGGGCCAACUAGGGGCAGCCGGAACAAGCGGUGGAGCGGUGAAAUGCGUAGAUAUCGCUUGGAACGCCGAAGGUGAAAACAGGCUGCUGGGGUUGCGCCGACGCUGAGACACGAAAGCCAGGGGAGCAAACGGG
rnacentral:rRNA from 1 species